AUUGAACGCUGGCGGCAGGCUUAACACAUGCAAGUCGAGCGGGGGAGGUUGCUUCGGUAACUGACCUAGCGGCGGACGGGUGAAUAAUGCUUAGGAAUCUGCCUAUUAGUGGGGGACAACAUUCCGAAAGGAAUGCUAAUACCGCAUACGCCCUACGGGGGAAAGCAGGGGAUCUUCGGACCUUGCGCUAAUAGAUGAGCCUAAGUCGGAUUAGCUAGUUGGUGGGGUAAAGGCGUACCAAGGCGACGAUCUGUAGCGGGUCUGAGAGGAUGAUCCGCCACACUGGGACUGAGACACGGCCCAGACUCCUACGGGAGGCAGCAGUGGGGAAUAUUGGACAAUGGGCGGAAGCCUGAUCCAGCCAUGCCGCGUGUGUGAAGAAGGCCUUUUGGUUGUAAAGCACUUUAAGCGAGGAGGAGGCUCUUAAGGUUAAUACCCUUGAUGAGUGGACGUUACUCGCAGAAUAAGCACCGGCUAACUCUGUGCCAGCAGCCGCGGUAAAAC
rnacentral:rRNA from 1 species